rnacentral:sRNA from 1 species
CACUAUUUAAGUUUUUAAUAUGGAGAUGUUUGUGAC